rnacentral:tRNA from 1 species
GGCGGAUGUAGCCAAGGGAAUCAGGGGAGGGUAUGGAAAAACCCACCCCAUGCGCGGAAGGGGCUU